GACGAACGCUGGCGGCGUGCUUAACACAUGCAAGUCGAACGGAAAGGCCCUGCUUUUGUGGGGUGCUCGAGUGGCGAACGGGUGAGUAACACGUGAGUAACCUGCCCUUGACUUUGGGAUAACUUCAGGAAACUGGGGCUAAUACCGGAUAGGAGCUCUUGCUGCAUGGUGGGGGUUGGAAAGUUUCGGCGGUUGGGGAUGGACUCGCGGCUUAUCAGCUUGUUGGUGGGGUAGUGGCUUACCAAGGCUUUGACGGGUAGGCGGCCUGAGAGGGUGACCGGGCACAUUGGGACUGAGAUACGGCCCAGAAUGCUACGGGACGCAGCAGUCGGGAACAUUGCACAGCGGGGGGAAGCCUGAUGUAGCAGCGCUGCGUGCGUAAUGCCGGCCUUCGGGGUGUAAACCGCUUUCGCAUGUAACGAAGCGUGAGUGACGGUAAUGGGUAAAGAAGCACCGGCUAACUACGUG
rnacentral:rRNA from 1 species